AUGGAAGACCCCUGUCAUUGACUGGCAUAGGGUUCAGUGGCGGAGAGAGCAUCAGGUGGCCCACGUCUGUGAUGGGCCAGUAUUCCACAUGGAUCUCAUCACAUGGGUCCAUGGAAGGCGAGCAUCCCUGAGCUGGCACACCCCACCUUCUGCCAGCAUGGAAGGAUGGUGAGCACAGAGGAAGAAUUGCGUUAGGCCCUUUGGCCCCGGACCAGUGUCUGCCAGCCACGUGCUCAGCCUCCCGUGCGCUAAAGCUCAGGUCCUUCCUGUCAUCCUGGUAUCCUGCACUGAGGUGUGUGAGCUCUUCCCCCCAGCAGGCCCCCUGGGAUUGACUGGCAAAGGUGA
rnacentral:lncRNA from 1 species